rnacentral:tRNA from 1 species
GGGGAUGUAGCUCAGUGGUAGAGUGCUUGCCUAGCAUGCAAGAACUUGGUUGGGUUUUUAUCUCCA